AUCAAUUUAUCAGAUCAAAUUGAACGAAUAGAUUUGACGAAAUAGUGUGUGAGAUGAAGAGGAUUAGAGAAAUGGAACGGCGCAAAAAAAAGAAACCGAGGGAUCCGAAAAGAAAUGAUGAACUAAAAACUUGCGGUUGUUUGUGAUCGGAUAUCCUUUCACAAUCUAGCGGCAGAAUACUGUACUUGGUCUCACCACGACAAAACUUCGUUAAAUGCGAAAGGAUAUGCGCCUUUAAAGAAUACUGUAAUUUAUAACUUCCGUUGAUGCAGAAUUUUCAGAAAUUUUUGGUUUUUUUUCGCGAUUUGUUGAAAAAUAUUUAUUUUUUUUUUGGCUUUUAAUAAAUAAAUAUUUUUU
ensembl:lincRNA linc-127 ncRNA